UACGUAGGGUGCGAGCGUUGUCCGGAAUUACUGGGCGUAAAGAGCUCGUAGGUGGUUUGUCGCGUUGUCCGUGAAAACUCACAACUCAAUUGUGGGCGUGCGGGCGAUACGGGCAGACUGGAGUACUGCAGGGGAGACUGGAAUUCCUGGUGUAGCGGUGGAAUGCGCAGAUAUCAGGAGGAACACCGGUGGCGAAGGCGGGUCUCUGGGCAGUAACUGACGCUGAGGGGCGAAAGCGUGGGGAGCGAACAGG
rnacentral:rRNA from 1 species